GAGUUUGAUUCCUGGCUCAGGAUGAACGCUAGCUACAGGCUUAACACAUGCAAGUCGAGGGGAAACGACAUCGAAAGCUUGCUUUUGAUGGGCGUCGACCGGCGCACGGGUGAGUAACGCGUAUCCAACCUGCCCAUCACUUGGGGAUAACCUUGCGAAAGUAAGACUAAUACCCAAUGAUAUCUCUAGAAGACAUCUGAAAGAGAUUAAAGAUUUAUCGGUGAUGGAUGGGGAUGCGUCUGAUUAGCUUGGUUGGCGGGUAACGGCCACAAGGCUACGAUCAGUAGGGGUUCUGAGACGGAAGGUCCCCCANAUUGGAACUGAGACACGGUCCAAACGUCCUACGGGAGGCA
rnacentral:rRNA from 1 species